rnacentral:pre_miRNA from 1 species
GCUCGGAUGGAUAUAAUACAACCUGCUAAGUGUCCCAGCACUUAGCAGGUUGUAUUAUCAUUGUCCGUGUC